rnacentral:rRNA from 14 species
AAAGUGUUUCUAGAAAGAU